GGCCCUGCCCACUUUCCGGAGCAUGCAGGCAGGAGAAAGGGCUCCUACACCACGUUCCAGCAGCUCGCAACCCCCCACCCCCACCCCCCGCCAUGCGUCCAGGGCCUGGGCUCCAUCAGCCCAACCAGUCCCUGCAGACAUCACGUUUCGCUCGGCUCGAGCGAGAGGAGGAAGCAAUGGUGUUCCCGAGCCGCCGAAGGCCGGCAGGCCGCCGCCUUCGGUCGUCUCCGGGACUCCAGCCGCUUGCACGCACUCACCGAUUUUAAAAACAAACAGGCGCCGUCGCCUCCCUGCGGCGUUCGCGGGGCUUCCGCCAGCCUGCGCCUCCCUAAGCUGGGAAGUUUGCUGGCAGGGCCCUGGCGGGACGUGCAGGCUGUCACCCCCGCUCGCUGACGGCGCAGAAACCUCGGUGCACCCCGCGCCCGUGCUGUCCGACUCGCGAGCGCUCUCCCUCCCUUCGAGUCACCCCCAGUCCUGCGAUGCAGUGUCAGGAUUGCACGGCUCUGACUCAUCGGUUGAGCUCACAGCUUGGAAAAAAAAAAGAGGGCGAGAGGCAACAACGAAGGAGGACGACUCUGGCGUGCUACAAAGGAUUGCACAACUCAAGGCUGGGUGCACAGAGUGCCCAGCAGCCAGCAGGCGCGCGCAGCACCGCGAGGAGCAGGAACCAGCUCUACCACUUCAUCAGCACCACUGUCUCGGGGCGGCCUCUCAGCCAGCAGGCCCAGCGCCGCCCACUUCCUGCGACCAAAUAAGGCCGAGGAAGGCGUCUUUAAACCUCCGGGGGCGGCCGGGGCUGGGGAUUUCCAGCGGACCUCACCUCUACUCCGGAGUAGGGUGCCACCCUCCCCCAGCCCAGGCGGGCGCCCCCUUGGCUUUGCUGGAACCAACAAGCCAUGUGGCUCGUUCCUUGCACACCAAGGAAAGCAUGGAGUACAGAGCGCCAGUUCCCAGAAGCUGUCUGCUAAGAAAGAAAGACUCCAGGAGGAAAAGCUCUCUGGCAGGACCCCAUCCUCUGGGUCCCAGUGAGGGUACAGUAUGGCAUUUCAAAGGCUUCCUGACAAACAACUCAGCUCUCUGAAUUCUACUCAGAGUGGCCCGUCACCAGUGUUCAAAAUCUUCUAAGUAUGUGAGUUAUAUCUCAAAGCUGGUAUGAAGAAGAAAAAUAAAAGCGUCUAAAGAAGCCAGGGUCUCGCCACCCAGCCACCUGCCCUGAGUCCGCAUUGUUGUCCUUUUUCCACUGCCCCAUCGAGCCCAGCACACAUGGUGUGUUUAUGUGAACAAUUAGCCUUGACCAGAAUAUGAGGAACUGGGGUACAACUAUUGUUGAGGACAUCACAAAAUGACAGCCUUCUUAUGUCCCUUGUAUGCUAUGUUCCUACUGUCAGGUCCCUUUGCAAAAUAAAGGUUCUUAUUGCUUAUAAUUAC
ensembl:lncRNA